rnacentral:rRNA from 1 species
AGCGAACGUUAGCGGCGGGCCUAACACAUGCAAGUCGAACGCGAAAGGUCUUCGGACUGAGUAGAGUGGCGCACGGGUGAGUAACACGUAGGUAAUCUACCCUUUGGCGGGGGAUAACGUUCCGAAAGGAGCGCUAAUACCGCAUAAGACCACGGAGUCUCCGGACGCUGUGGGAAAAGGUGGCCUCUUCUUGAAAGCUACCACCGAAGGAUGAGCCUGCGUCCCAUCAGCUAGUUGGUAAGGUAAUGGCUUACCAAGGCGAAGACGGGUAGCUGGUUUGAGAGAAUGAUCAGCCACACUGGCACUGGGACACGGGCCAGACUCCUACGGGAGGCAGCAGUGAGGAAUAUUGGGCAAUGGGCGAAAGCCUGACCCAGCCACGCCGCGUGAGUGAUGAAGGCCCUCGGGUCGUAAAGCUCUGUGGAGAGGGACGAAAACCCUGGUUUCAAAUAGGCUCCAGGCUUGACGGUACCUCUUUAGCAAGCACCGGCUAACUCUGUGCCAGCAGCC